rnacentral:rRNA from 1 species
ACCGGAUACGUCCGUAAGGAGAAAGAUUUAUCGCCAAAGGAUUGGCCCGCGUCCNNNNNGCUAGUUGGNGAGGUAACGGCUCACCAAGGCUACGAUCGGNAGCUGGUCUGAGAGGAUGAUCAGCCACAUUGGGACUGAGACACGGCCCAAACUCCUACGGGAGGCAGCAGUGGGGAAUAUUGGACAAUGGGCGCAAGCCUGAUCCAGCCAUGCCGCGUGAGUGAUGAAGGCCUUAGGGUUGUAAAGCUCUUUUGUCCGGGAAGAUAAUGACUGUACCGGAAGAAUAAGCCCCGGCUAACUUCGUGCCAGCAGCCGCGGUAAUACGAAGGGGGCUAGCGUUGUUCGGAAUCACUGGGCNUAAAGCGCACGUAGGCGGACCGUUAAGUCGGAGGUGAAAGCCUGGGGCUCAACCCCAGAACUGCCUUCGAUACUGGCGGUCUUGAGUAUGGUAGAGGUUGGUGGAACUCCGAGUGUAGAGGUGANNNUCGUAGAUAUUCGGAAGAACACCAGUGGCGAAGGCGGCCAACUGGACCAUUACUGNCGCUGAGNUGCGAAAGCGUGGGGAGCAAACAGGAUNNNAUACCCUGGUAGUCCACGCUGUNNACGNUGAGAG